rnacentral:SRP_RNA from 1 species
CCUUUUUUUAUUAAAAAAGACACAAAAGAGCGUCGGGUAUGUUAUAAUACGGAAUAGCCGGCGGGCAAUCUGCAGUGCGUAGGGGUCCUGCGCAACAGGGCGCUGUGAACCAUGUCAGGACCGAGAGGUAGCAGCAUUAAGCGGUUAGCAAUGUGUGCCGCAGACAAGCCUCUGCGUACUGCAGAUAGUCCGACGGUUUUUUUAUAAGG